rnacentral:piRNA from 1 species
CGAUCGGUGCGACAACGACAAUGUUGGA